UCACUCUGAAGAAGGCCAGCCGCCAUGUUCCGAAGACACUCAAGCAGCCCUGUGAAGAGGGUUAUAUGGCAAGAAUCGGAGGCCUCCUGCCAAGAGCCAUGUGAGUGCGCCAUCUUGGACACAGCUAUUCCAGCUCCAUUAGGCCUUGGGGUGUCUGCAACCUUAUGAGAGACCCUAAGCUAGAACCACCCAAGCUCCGUUGGCCCCAGAUUCUUGAUCCACAGAAAUUGUGUGAGACAGAUGAAUGAUUUUUAUAAUUAAGAGAAGAGAAACUUCCCUUUUGAAAAUCAUCAAAAGUGAAAGUCAGACCUGUAUUUCCUUUGGAUGAGUCGACCGUUUAAGCACAACAUGCGGAGGCCAGAUGUCUGCCGGUGCACCUGCGUGCCGGGGAGAGGUCCGAAGGGCAGAUGGUGGAUGAGGGGCCAGUAGCCACAACACCUGCCCCCCCAACAACCUCAGCCAGACUGGCUCUUUCGCGCAUGUUACACAUUGAGUUUCUGCAUAAUUUCACAUAAAAGUUUCCACUGCUUGAAAAAAAAAAAAAAAAAAGUUUGAAAACCUUUACCGUGAGAAUGAAUAACAGUUGAAGAGUUAAAAUUAGGCUAUAGAAGAACCACUCAAACUUUUUUUGGGAAUGUGAACAGAGUUUCCAUAAAGAAAAUCCUGCACAUUCUGAGAGAACAGAAGCCCUGACAACUUAACAAAUGUUCGGUGGUUUCAACAGAGGCUUGCUCGUGUGGCCAUGGAAAAGGUGACAGCUAGGGAUGAAGAGCUUAUCCAGGGACCCCUCCGAUCCAAGGGGCCCAAGAGGCCAGCAGAAGCAGCAGGGCCUUAAGGCCCCGGGGGACACAGAUCAGAACCACAGGUGAGUGGCUCUCUCGUUUUCUCAGGAAAAUCCAAAGCAGGAGAUGCUAAAAGCACGGACUUCGGAGACACCAGAUCUGGGUUCAAGUUCCAGGUCUGACACUAAAAACUUAAGAGAUCUUUGGCAAGUGACAUAGCCAAACUGAAGUUGGAGAACGCAAAAUGGUACAGCCAUUUUGGAAAACAGGUUAGCGGUUUCCUAAACAGAAACUUGCCAUGUGACCCAGCAAUUCCAUUCCCAGGUAACCACCCAAGAGAAAUAAAAACAUACAUCCGCACAAAGACUUGCACACAACUGUUCUUAGCAGCACUAUUCAUCAUAACUCAAGGUGGAAGCGAUCCAAAUGUUCCUCAACCGGUGAACGGAGAAACAAAAUGCGGCAUAUCCACACGAUGGAAUACUAAAGGGCGAUAAAAGGAAGAAAGUCCUGAUACAUGCCACAACCUGAACGCACCCUGAAAACAUUACUCUAAAUGAAACAAGCCAAUCGCAAAAGAUCACAUAUUAGCUGAGUCCAUGUACGUGGAACAUUCCAGAAAAGGCAAAGAUACAGAGGCAGAAAACAGACUAGUGGUUACCUGGGGCUGGGGACAGGAGUGACUACAAGUGGGCACAAAGUGUCUUUUUGGGGUGACGGAAUGUUCAAAACUCGGGUUGUGGUGAUGGGCACACAACCCUGUAAAUGUCCUGAAAAUCAUUGAAUCGCACCCUUAAAAUGGGCACAUUCUGCGAUAUGUAAAUUAAAACUCAAUAGAGCUGUUUUUAAACAAUG